AACAGGUGUGCAAAGUAUUUCCUAUAUGGUGAGAGAUUAGAAAGUGUAGAUGUACAAAGAGACCUGGGUGUCCUUGUCCAUAAGUCACUAAAGCUAACAUACAGUGGUUGUACAGUCAGAGGUGCUUGAGUCAUUGACAUGUUAAAGUAAUAUACCUGCACAGUAGCCCCUCAGUUCUGAUGUGAACAACCUGUUACUCCAGCUGUUGCUGCCAUCAGGACUUUGCUGCUGUGUGGACACG